rnacentral:lncRNA from 1 species
CUCUCUUCGGCCCAUUAUGAACUGGUUGAUUAAACAUUUGCAUGCUCAGUGAAAUCGCUCUACGUGAAGUCCUCGUGAGCCCUGAAAGCCUCUACGGAGUUCCAAAAGUCCCCCCAGUAUGAACUUACAUUGUGGCACUUCACCGCAGGCGGAGAUGCCAGACCUCUCGGCUCUGCCACACGUCUGGCCAGAUGCUGGGGCCGCAAAACCAACCACCCGUCCCAGCUCUCAGGGCGAACGCCCCCGCAGACCCCCCCCACGCAGGGGCGUGGCCAACACCGGAAGAGGCGGGGGCCGGAGGACCGAAGGGUCGGCGGAAGAAGCUGCGUUUUCUUUUCCGCGCGGCCACCGAAGGAUGAGGGUGUGUGAGGUCCCGUCGGGCAAGCGGGCCGGGUGGCAGCGUCCGAGGGCCAGUCGCAGGGCUCUUCGAGUAACCCUGGCUUCAACUGUUCUAACCUCAAGAAUUAAUAAGGCGUCUCCUCAGAUUCAGGUCGUUCCGAGGUGCAGCAGAGCCUAUGAGGUGAAGAUGAAUGAAGGUCAUCCUGAUGAUUUCCAGAAACUGCUCACAGGAUGGCUGUGAUAAAACCACUAGGAGCACAACUGCAUGUAAUGAGCAUAUAGGUAGCUGCAGAUGAAUAUUCAAGUCCAAAACUGUCAUGGUCAAAAUUCAUUGCCUCAGGUAAGUAAUUAUGAUUUGUCAAGUAAUCACAGCUAUUAAUAGUUCAAAAGUAUCUGAAACUCCAGUGGGCUAGCGCCAUUUCCUGUUAAAAUUGCCUGUGUAUGUCAGAAGUAUGGUUUCUUUUUGAUUCUUGACUAUGGAAUGAUUUUCACUGUUGGUUUCUGAUUUUUUUCUAGAGGCAUGCAGUUGGAAGGAAAAAUGAAGAGUUGGUCAAGAAGACAUGAAACAGAUAAUAAAAUUAAUAUUUUAUUUAAAAUUGAUCA